rnacentral:misc_RNA from 1 species
GAUAAGAACGUAGCGAAAUGCGAUACGUAAUGUGAAUUGCAGAAUUCAGUGAAUCAUCGAAUCUUUGAACGCAUAUUGCGCUCUCUGGUAUUCCGGAGAGCAUGCUUGUUUGAGUAUCAGUAAACACCUCAACUUCCAUAUCUUUUUUGAAAUGGGAGUUGGACUUGAGUGAUCCCAACGCUUUUCCUCACCGAAAAGUGGCGGGUUACUUGAAAUGCAGGUGCAGCUGGACUUUUCUCUGAGCUAUAAGCAUAUCUAUUUAGUCUGCCUAAAAAACAGAUUAUUACCUUUGCUGCAGCUAACAUAAAGGAGAUUAGUUCUUGUGCUGACUGAUGCAGGAUUCACAAAGACAGCUUCGGCCGACUUUGUAAACUCGAUCUCAAAUCAAGUAAGACUACCCGCUGAACUUAAGCAUAUCAAUAAGCGGAGGA